GAUGAAGAACGUAGCGAAAUGCGAUAAGUAGUGUGAAUUGCAGAAUUCAGUGAAUCAUCGAAUCUUUGAACGCACAUUGCGCCUCCUGGCAUUCCGGGAGGCAUGCCUGUUCGAGCGUCAUCAAACCCCAUCGUGCAAAUGAAUUAUUUUUUUUGCGCGGAAGUGACGAUUGAGCGAGAAUAACAAAUCCUCUCGCACCUCGUCGAAAUGAUUGCGGGCGGAAUUUGGGAUCGGGUUCCUCGGCGUAGUGUAUCAAUGCAUAUUUAUGCAACUUGCCGCGGAGUUGAGCCUGACCCACGCGUUCUCGCCGUACAAACACCUCAUUACUUUACAAGUUUUUGACCUCGGAUCAGGUAGGGAUACCCGCUGAACUUAAGCAUAUCAAUAAGCGGAGGGA
rnacentral:misc_RNA from 1 species